CUGGCAAUCCUCCGGGCACCAUUUGGCAGAGCAGCUAUGAAUAAGCCUCACUGCAGGAAUGGCACAGAGGAAUGUGGGAAUUCUCCCUAACAAACCCCUCCACUCCCUUCCUUACCUGCCAGAGAAAUGGAGAAGGCUCAUGUCUCUGGGCCCUGAUGCUUGGGUUUCUCAGCCUUCCCAGCUCCAACAAAAGGGAGAUGGAAUCCAGGCAUCUGGGUUUUCCCUGCUGGAAGGUGUAAUGUGGGCAUUCUGUUCCAUGGUCAGUGCUGGGUCAUCAGCAGCUGCACAGCUUCUGGCCCUGAGUGGGGGAAAUGGUCUGGACAGGGGACUCACCAGAGGUUCUUCUGUGUCUCCCUUGUCUGCAGGUUCCACACUUGUGUACAGGAGGCACCAUCAUGGAGUCCAAGAUGCUGGAUCUAGGAUUCUCACCCAGACACCUGCAGAAAGCCAGAAAUGUGUGUAGAUGGCACCAGUGGCAUGAGAACCAAAUUGGACCCUCGAUGUGGCAGGUUUGAAUGGAUAGGUUGAUGACUGCUUGCAUCUGUGGUACUGCAGCACUUAAAUGAGUAGUCUAGGCCCAGGUAUGCAUUGUGGAAGUCAAAGAAUGAAGCCUACAGUUGGCCAAUUAUUCUUUGAGGAAGGGCACUGAUGCUGCUAUGGAGUUGAGAGUCACAGCACCAGGAUAAAGAGUUUAUAGACAGGGUGAAAGACCGUUUGGGUUCCAUCUAUGAUGAUACCUGAGUGGUGUCAGUGCAACCACCUUUGGAGAGACUGUUGCCCUCCUGGAGAGGCAUGGUGUGGCAGGCUGCUGCCUCCCUCCCCCCAGAAUGGAGAGCCCCACUCCAGGGAUUCCUUCUUGGUGUGACAUGCCCACUAUAUGAAGAAAGAUGAGCCUAUUACCUUAAGCCUUAGUCGCUGGCUAGCCUGUAUCACAGAUACAUUCUCUUUGGAGAGGAUAAGCAUUGUUCUUUUCUCUGUUUCAGUAGGUUUAAUGAAACAGAUCAUUUUUCUACACUACUAACUUUCUUAUUUCAAGAACACCAUGGAAGUAAAGCCCUGUGU